rnacentral:rRNA from 1 species
GACGAACGCUGGCGGCGUGCUUAACACGUGCAAGUCGAACGGAAAGGCCCUGCUUUUGUGGGGUGCUCGAGUGGCGAACGGGUGAGUAACACGUGAGUAACCUGCCCUUGACUUUGGGAUAACUUCAGGAAACUGGGGCUAAUACCGGAUAGGAGCUCCUGCUGCAUGGUGGGGGUUGGAAAGUUUCGGCGGUUGGGGAUGGACUCGCGGCUUAUCAGCUUGUUGGUGGGGUAGUGGCUUACCAAGGCUUUGACGGGUAGCCGGCCUGAGAGGGUGACCGGCCACAUUGGGGCUGAGAUACGGCCCAGACUCCUACGGGAGGCAGCAGUUGGGAAUAAUGCACAAAGGGCGGAAGCCUGAUGCAGCAACGCCGCGUGCGGGAAGACGGCCUUCGGGGUGGAAACCGCUUUCGCCUGUGACGAAGCGGGAGUGACGGUAAUGGGUAAAGAAGCACCGGCUAACUACGUG